rnacentral:rRNA from 1 species
CGGCGAGUGAAGCGGCAACAGCUCAAAUUUGAAAUCUGGCCCUCGGGUCCGAGUUGUAAUUUGCAGAGGAUGCUUUUGGCGCGGUGCCUUCCGAGUUCCCUGGAACGGGACGCCUUAGAGGGUGAGAGCCCCGUACGGUUGGACACCAAGCCUCUGUAAAGCUCCUUCGACGAGUCGAGUAGUUUGGGAAUGCUGCUCUAAAUGGGAGGUAAAUUUCUUCUAAAGCUAAAUACCGGCCAGAGACCGAUAGCGCACAAGUAGAGUGAUCGAAAGAUGAAAAGCACUUUGAAAAGAGGGUUAAACAGCACGUGAAAUUGUUGAAAGGGAAGCGUUUGCGACCAGACCUUUUCCUGGCGGAUCAUCCGGUGUUCUCACCGGUGCACUCCGCCAGGCAGAGGCCAGCAUCGGUUCCUGCAGGGGCACAAAAGCCUGGGGAACGUAGCUCCCUCGGGAGUGUUAUAGCCCCUAGCAUAAUACCCUUGCGGGGACCGAGGACCGCGCUUCGGCAAGGAUGCUGGCGUAAUGGUCGUCAAUGACCCGUCUUGAAACACGGACCAAGGAGUCGAACAUUUGUGCGAGUGUUUGGGUGUCAAACCCUCACGCGUAAUGAAAGUGAACGGAGGUGAGAGCCCUCGCGGGUGCAUCAUCGACCGAUCCUGAUGUCUUCGGAUGGAUUUGAGUAAGAGCAUAACUGUUCGGACCCGAAAGAUGGUGAACUAUGCGCGGAUAGGGUGAAGCCAGAGGAAACUCUGGUGGAGGCUCGCAGCGGUUCUGACGUGCAAAUCGAUCGUCAAAUCUGCGCAUGGGGGCGAAAG